rnacentral:rRNA from 1 species
CCUACGGGAGGCUGCAGUGAGGAAUAUUGGUCAAUGGCCGGAAGGCUGAACCAGCCAAGCCGCGUGAAGGACGAAGGUGCCAAGCAUUGUAAACUUCUUUUGUCAAGGGACAAAAUCAGGCUCGAGAGCCUGACCGAGGGUACUUGAAGAAAAAGCAUCGGCUAACUCCGUGCCAGCAGCCGCGGUAAUACGGAGGAUGCGAACGUAACCGGGAUCUAUUGGGGUUAAAGGGUGCGUAGGCGGACUGUUAAGUCAGUGGUAAAAGCCCGGGGCUAAACCCCGGCGGGCCUUUGAAACUGGUUGGCUUGAGAUGUCUAGAGGUAGGCGGAAUGGGAAGUGUAGCGGUGAAAUGCUGAGAUAUUGGGCAGAACUCCGAUGGCGAAGGCGGCAUACCGGCGGAGAUCUGACGCUGAGGCACGAAAGCGUGGGUAUCGAACAGGAUUAGAUACCCCUGUAGUC